rnacentral:rRNA from 1 species
AGAGUUUGAUCCUGGCUCAGGAUGAACGCUAGCGACAGGCUUAACACAUGCAAGUCGAGGGGCAGCAUGAGGUAGCAAUACCUUGAUGGCGACCGGCGCACGGGUGAGUAACGCGUAUGCAACCUGCCCGAUACCGGGGUAUAGCCCAUGGAAACGUGGAUUAACACCCCAUAGUACUUUUAUCCUGCAUGGGAUGUGAGUUAAAUGUUCAAGGUAUCGGAUGGGCAUGCGUCCUAUUAGUUAGUUGGCGGGGUAACAGCCCACCAAGACGAUGAUAGGUAGGGGUUCUGAGAGGAAGGUCCCCCACAUUGGAACUGAGACACGGUCCAAACUCCUACGGGAGGCAGCAGUGAGGAAUAUUGGUCAAUGGACGAGAGUCUGAACCAGCCAAGUAGCGUGAAGGAUGAAGGUUCUAUGGAUUGUAAACUUCUUUUAUACGGGAAUAAAACCUCCCACGUGUGGGAGCUUGUAUGUACCGUAUGAAUAAGCAUCGGCUAACUCCGUGCCAGCAGCCGCGGUAAUACGGAGGAUGCGAGCGUUAUCCGGAUUUAUUGGGUUUAAAGGGUGCGUAGGCGGUUUAUUAAGUUAGUGGUUAAAUAUUUGAGCUAAACUCAAUUGUGCCAUUAAUACUGGUAAACUGGAGUACAGACGAGGUAGGCGGAAUAAGUUAAGUAGCGGUGAAAUGCAUAGAUAUAACUUAGAACUCCGAUAGCGAAGGCAGCUUACCAGACUGUAACUGACGCUGAUGCACGAGAGCGUGGGUAGCGAACAGGAUUAGAUACCCUGGUAGUCCACGCCGUAAACGAUGCUCACUGGUUCUGUGCGAUAUAUUGUACGGGAUUAAGCGAAAGUAUUAAGUGAGCCACCUGGGGAGUACGUCGGCAACGAUGAAACUCAAAGGAAUUGACGGGGGCCCGCACAAGCGGAGGAACAUGUG